rnacentral:rRNA from 1 species
UGCAUUGGAUUGAGAACAACGUACAACUCUUAUCGAUAAGCCAUUGGAGGGCAAGUCUGGUGCCAGCAGCCGCGGUAAUUCCAGCUCCAAUAGCGUAUAUUAACGUUGUUGCAGUUAAAAAGCUCGUAGUUGAAGUGAGGGAGUGUGUGUUCAUGAGAGCUAGUCUCGAGUGUUCACAACCUCCCCCCUCCAAUCGGUGUAGUGGGGUAUUCAGUUAUUUCACUACUCCUUUGGUCGUUUACUGUGAGAAAAUUAGAGUGUUCAAAGCGGGCGUUUGUUUGAAUAGAUUAGCAUGGAAUAAUGAUUGAAGGCUUUCGUGUUCGAUUUGAUUGGUUUGUUCAUGGAAGCAAGGUUAAAAGGAACAGUUGGGGGUAUUCAUAUUCACUAGUUAGAGGUGAAAUUCUCGGAUUUAUGGAAGAUGAACAAGUGCGAAAAG